CACCUGUAUCACGGAGGAAGAACUGUAAGAAGAUUGCUGAUAAGGAAAAGUUUCUUGUGCUCUACCAUCAGAUGUUCCAGACUGUUCCCUGAAACAAUUAAUUUCAGGUACACCAUCUUGUGGAAACCCCUCCUUGUUUUUGAUCUGUUACAGGAAAUAAAUAAGGAAAGAAUUCUUUAUUAUAGUUCAGUCAUCAAGAGAUCACAAAGGAAGAGGUCACCACUAGAAGAUCAAUCUUUAGCUAAAUUGCUUUGAAGAAGGAAGAAAUUCAGGAAUGGGAAUGCCUCUGCCUCCUGCUUCAGGUCUAUUGAAAGAGCCUGGGCCCUUGCUGCAGUCUAAGAUGUAUUUUGUCAGUAAGCAGGUGGCCAAGAGGGAAACUGUUUUCUUCCUCAUUUGCUGUGUUUGUAGAGGGAUUGUACAACCUUCUGAUAGUUCCAGCAUUUCCUCUGCAAGUCCCUCCUCAGAUCAUUGAGGUGAAAGUAAAAUGCGUUUCUCCAACUGUUCUAUUACUGAUUGCAUGUUGAAGUCUAUUUUCCUUUUUCUGCUAUUCAUCCCACCCAUAGUUCCACCGAACUUUUAAUUAUUUACUUUUUCUAGCUCCCCUUUCCAAAUUAGACUUUGUCUAACGCAGAUUUCUCAAGAGCCUCCUGCU